rnacentral:rRNA from 1 species
AUUGUAGUCAUAUGCUUGUCUCAAAGAUUAAGCCAUGCAUGUCUAAGUACAGGCCGUUCCAAGGCGAAACUGCGGAUGGCUCAUUAAACCAUACAUAAGUUCUGAGGCGGUUGACGGGGGGCCUCUUCACGGGGGCUCCUCUACAUGGAUAACUGUGGUAAUUCUAGAGCUAAUACAUGCUUUACAAGCCCCGACCCUCGCGGGGAAGGGCGCACUUAUUAGUGACAAGACCAGCGGCCGUCUCUCGGGGCGGUAUAAACCACUGGGGAACUCUGGAUAAACUCUAGCUGACCGGGGCCUCGGCCCCGGCGCGCUUCUGAAGUGUAUGCCCUAUCAACUGACGAUGGUAGGUGCAAUGCCUACCAUGGUUGCAACGGGUAACGGGGAAUAAU